UACGUAGGGGGCAAGCGUUGUCCGGAAUCAUUGGGCGUAAAGCGCACGUAGGCGGUCUGUUAUGUCGGAUGUGAAAGCCCUUGGCUCAACUAAGGAAGUGCAUCCGAAACUGGCAGGCUGGAGUACUAAAGAGGGUCGCGGAAUUCCCGGUGUAGAGGUGAAAUUCGUAGAUAUCGGGAGGAACACCGGUGGCGAAGGCGGCGACCUGGGUAGAUACUGACGCUGAGGUGCGAAAGCGUGGGGAGCAAACAGG
rnacentral:rRNA from 1 species